GGGCCCGUAGCUCAGUCUGCAACUUUUGGAAAAAGUUACAUCAAAACCAAAAAUUGCCUGAAACGGUUAGAGCGUUCGACUGAUAAUCGAAAGGUCGUGAGUUCAAAUCCCAUCGGGCCCA
rnacentral:tRNA from 1 species